GCCCCUGUAGUUCAGUUGGUAGAACUCUCGACUUUUAAUCGAGAUGUCGCAGGUUCGAGUCCUGCCGGGGGCA
rnacentral:tRNA from 1 species